CCCAAAAAAUUCCAAACCUUGAAAAAAUCCCCCCAAAAUUCAAAAUAAUGAUAAUAAUUUAAAAAAUUAAAUUGCUUAAAAGAAAGAUUUUUAAAAUUCCCCACCAAAAAAAAAACCUCCCAAAAUUUUUAAAAACUGCCAAAUAAAAUCCCCCCAAAUCAAUAAAUAUAUAAAUAAAUAAAUAAAUAAACAAAUAAAUAAGCACAUAAAUAAGUGCAUAAAUAAAUAAAUAAAAUAAAGCAAUAAUAAAAUAAAGUUAAUAAAAUAACAGAAUAAAAUUAAAUAAAAUAAAGUUUAAUACAAAAUAAAGUUAAUAAAGUUAAAUUCAUAUAAAAUAAAUCAAAUAAAUAAAUAAAAUGAAGUUCAAUUAAUCAUAAAUGAAUAAAUGAUAAAAAUAAAAUUAAAUCUUAAAAAAAGAAAACAAAAUGAACUUCAAAUAAAUUUUUAAAAAAUAAAAUAAAAAUAAAAUAAAGUAAAAUAAAAUAAAAUAUAAUAAAGUAAAGUAAAAUAAAAUAAAAUAAAUUAAAAGGAAGGAAACAAAUUAAAUUAAAUUAAAAUUUAAAAAAUAAAAUAAAAUAAGAAUGAAAUAAAAUAAAAUAAAAUAAAUCUUUAAAAAAUAAAAUAAAAUUAAAUGAAAUGAAAUAAAAUUAAAUUAAAAUGAAAUUAAAAUAAAAGGAAGGAAACAAAUUUAAUUAAAAAUUUAAAUAAAAUAAAAUAAAAAUAAAAGAAAAUAAAAUAAUGUAAAAUAAAAUAAAAUAAAAUAAAAUAAAAUAAAAUUAAAUUAAAUUAAAAUCCCCUUUGGGAGCGGGGGCUCUGGGGUUCCCAGGGGCGUCCGUGGACGAGGAUUCAUAAAAAAAUAUCUCUGAGUGUGAGCUAAAAAUAGACCCGGGGGGGGGCUGGGAAUGGAAGGUUCUGGAAGGUCCUGGGGGCGCCCAGAGGGGCCUCGGAGCGGUCCUGGAGCUCCUGGAGGUUCUGGAGAAGUUCUGGAGGUCCUGAGGGAGUUUCAAAGCUUCUGGAGGAGUUCCGGAGGUCCUGGGUGGUCCUGGAGUGGAUCCAGACGAGUCCUCAGAGCCGUUCUGGAGGUUCUGGAGAAGUUCCAAAGGUUCUUGGAGGCCUUUGAGUGGUUCUGGAGGUCCUGGAUGGUCCUGGAGGGAUCCAGAGGGGCCUCAGAGCGGUUCUGGAGGUUCUUGAGAAGUUCUGGAGGUUCUGGAAGAGAUCCAGAGGGGUCUCAGAGCGGUUCUGGAGAAGUUCUGGAGGCCUUUGAGUGAUGGUGGAGAAGUUCUGGAGGUCCUGAAGGAGUUUCAAAGCUUCUGGAGGAGUUCUGGAGGUCCUGGAGGAGUUCUCAAGAAGUUCUGGAGGUCCUGGAUGGUCCUGGAGGCCUUUGAGUGGUCCUGGAGAAGUUCUGGAGGUCCUGGAUGGAUCCAGAGGGGCCUCAGAGCGGUUCUGGAGGUCCUGGAUGGAUCCAGAGGGGCCUCACAAUAGCUCUGGAGGGUCUGGAGCAGUUCCAGAGGCCUUUGAGUGGUCCUGGAGAAGCUCUGGAGGUCCUGGAGAAGCUCUGGAGAAGUUCCAAAGGUUCUGAAAGCCUUGGAAUUAAUCCAGAGGGGCCCUCGGAGCGGUUCUGGAGAAGUCCCGGAGGUUCUGGAAGCCUUGGAGUGGUUCUGGAGGAGUUCUGGAGGAGUUCUGGAGGUCUUUGAGUGGUUCUGGAGGUUCUGGAUGGGAUCCAGAGGUGUCCUUGUAGUGGUUCUGGAGGUUCUGGAGGAGUUCCGAAAGUUCUGGAGGCUCUGGAGGGGACCCAGACGUGUCCUUGGAGCAGUUCUGGAACUCUUGGACUGAUUCUGGAUCUCCUGGAGAUGUUCUGGACCUCCAAGAUCAGUUCAGAAUAAAUUCUGGACCUCCUGGAUCA
rnacentral:lncRNA from 1 species